rnacentral:rRNA from 1 species
CAGCGGGAUUGAAGCUUGCUUCAAUUGCCGGCGACCGGCGCACGGGUGAGUAACGCGUAUCCAACCUUCCGUACACUCAGGGAUAGCCUUUCGAAAGAAAGAUUAAUACCUGAUAGUAUCUUAAGCACACAUGUAAUUAAGAUUAAAGAUUUAUCGGUGUACGAUGGGGAUGCGUUCCAUUAGGUAGUAGGCGGGGUAACGGCCCACCUAGCCAACGAUGGAUAGGGGUUCUGAGAGGAAGGUCCCCCACAUUGGAACUGAGACACGGUCCAAACUCCUACGGGAGGCAGCAGUGAGGAAUAUUGGUCAAUGGACGAGAGUCUGAACCAGCCAAGUAGCGUGAAGGAUGAAGGUCCUACGGAUUGUAAACUUCUUUUAUAAGGGAAUAAACCCUCCCACGUGUGGGAGCUUGUAUGUACCUUAUGAAUAAGCAUCGGCUAACUCCGUGCCAGCAGCCGCGGUAAUACGGAGGAUGCGAGCGUUAUCCGGAUUUAUUGGGUUUAAAGGGAGCGCAGACGGGUCGUUAAGUCAGCUGUGAAAGUUUGGGGCUCAACCUUAAAAUUGCAGUUGAUACUGGCGUCCUUGAGUGCGGUUGAGGUGUGCGGAAUUCGUGGUGUAGCGGUGAAAUGCUUAGAUAUCACGAAGAACUCCGAUUGCGAAGGCAGCACACUAAUCCGUAACUGACGUUCAUGCUCGAAAGUGUGGGUAU